rnacentral:sRNA from 1 species
UGCUCACCUCAGCCCUCCAAAAUUUGAUAAGUUUUGAUAUGUGUUACAUCCAUGAAAUCAUCACCACAAUCAUGAUAAUGUAUCUUGAAUUCUCCGUAUUUAUUUAUUUUUAUUUUUUGAGGUGGAGUCUUGUUCUGUCCCCAGGCUGGAGUGCAGUGGUGCGAUCUUGGCUCACUGCAGCCUCCGCCUCCCGAAUUUAAGCUAUUCUCCUGCCUCAGCCUCCAAGUAGAUCGGAUUACAAGCAUGCAUCACCAUACCUGGAUAAUUUUGUAUUCUUAGUAGAGACAGGGUUUCGCCAUGUUGGCCAGGCUGGUCUUGAACUCCUGACCUCAAGUGAUGCACCUGGCCCCUCAAAGUGCUGGGAUUACAGGCAUGAGCCACUGCGCCUGGCCAAAUUAUCAGUAUUUAAAUUUAAAUAAAAUUUAAAAAUUCAUUCCUCAGCUGUACUGGCUGGGCAGCCACACGCGGCCAGUGGCUACUGGAUGGGACAACACAUUCAAAACCAUUAUCCUGUUUUAUCUUCAAAGGAUUUACCACUGUCUGACUAGCUUCUCCAACGUUGCGCCCUUCUUGCUCUCAUAUCAUGUCUCUUAUUUUCUUCUUAUUCCUUCUGAUUGGAAAUGAUCUCAUUUGUGUGUGUGUUUUUCGCUGGUGACUGGUUGUCUUCCCUGGCAGAAUAUGCGCCCACCCAAGCUGGUGCUUCACCGGUCGUGUUGACAGUGUGUCUCCAGGGGCAGGUUCAUAAGGGCACUAGUAGGAGGUUGUGAAUGAAGGGAUGUGAUGUUCACACUAAGACCUGAAAGAUGUGUCCAGUUAAUAAGUGGACAGGGAGAAAGGUUGUUAGACAAAGAGGAGUAGGUGGCAUCAGUUACUGGGGAGGAAAUGUUGAUUCAGGACUGAGAGGCAAAGGGACCUGGCUAGAGGAUGGGGUCCCAGAAGUUGGUUUAAGGACUGGUGUGGACACACACAGUUCUGUUGUCUGCCCAGCGGAGGGGCCUCACGGGGGGCUGUUGGGAGCCAGAUUGUCAGCUUUUGGAUUUACCAGCUGUGGGUGGCAGUAGGCAUGUAACUCAGCAUCUUGCUGCCUCUGUUUCUCUCAUCUGUAAAGUGGGGAUAAUAACAUUUACCUCAUAAAGUUCCUGUGAGGAUUCGAUGAUUUGACACAUCAGUUGCUUAGCACAGGGCCCAGCACUCAGUACAUGUUCACUGUCAGGAAGGCAGGGAGGCCUCACUGGCAGCAUCAGGACAUAGGACAUCAGGACAUACACCGUGGCUCUCAGGGAAAGGAAAGAGACCCUCUCCCAGGUGUACAAGGUCGAUUCUAAACCUCAGGGGACCCUGCAUUGUUCGCUCCCUCAUUCAUUCACUUGUCCAUGCGUGUACUCAGUAGUGGCAUAAGCGGACUGCUCAGGUCGGACCUGAAUUAGCCUCACCCACUCUCCUCCUACACUGUCCCUCCCCAGGGCACAUUUGCCUCCCAGGUGACACUGGAGGGGGACAAGUUGAAAGUGGAGCGGGAGAUCGAGGGAGGCCGGGAGACCCUGCGCCUGAAGCUGCCAGCUGUGGUGACAGCUGACCUGAGGCUCAACGAGCCCCGCUACGCCACGCUGCCCAACAUCAUGGUGAGCCCCUGGCCAGUGGGCACUGAGGGCCUGGGGGUGGCAAGCACAUUGCCAGCCCAGUGCCCCCCGGUGUCGCACGUGGGGAGGGAAGGAUACAAAGGAGGUCUCAUGCACAGGAAGCCGUCACCUGGAGUUUGGCUGAUAGAGAGAGUUUGCUGGGUCAUCUCUGCCAAUACUGAGAGUUCAUGGGGGCUGCUUUGACUAGCAGGGAGGGCUUGCUGGUAUCUAGGCCAGUAGAAAGGCUUUGCUGGGCAGCAGAAAGUGUUCCCUUUGUCAUUCCAGCCAGUGGAACAAGUUCACUGGGUCAUCUAGGUUCAUUAGGGAAGGUCUCCUUGGUAAUUUUGCCAAUGUGAAGUUACCGUGUAGAUAUCUUAGUUAACUAGGAAGGGUGCAUGAGGUCUCUUGGCUAACAGGUAGAGUUCACUAAUCAUCAUGGCCAGUAGGAUGGGUUCGCUGGGUCAUCUUGGCCAAUAUUAACAGUUUAGUGGGUCAUCUCCGCCAAUGGAGAAUAUUCAUCUCAGCCAACAGAGAGGUUCAUUGGAUCAUCUCAACUAAUGGGAGGGUUCAAUGAGUCAUUUCAGCCAUUACAGAGUGUUCACUACAUCAUCUCAGCCUAUAGGGAGAGUUCAGCGCAUUAUCUCAGCCUAUAGGGAGGGUUCAGCGUGUCAUCUCAGCCUAUAGGGAGAGUUCAGCGUGUCAUCUCAGCCUAUAGGGAGGGUUCAGCGCAUCAUCUCAGCCUAUAGGGAGGGUUCAGCAUGUCAUCUCAGCCUAUAGGGAGGGUUCGGCGCGUCAUCUCAGCCUGUAGGAGGGUUCGGCACAUCAUCUCAGCCUAUAGGGAGGGUUCGGUGUGUCAUCUCAGCCUAUGGGGAGGGUUCGGUGCAUCAUCUCAGUCUAUAGGGAGGGUUCAGUGCAUCAUCUCAGCCUACUGGGAGCCUUCAGCAUGCCAUCUCAACCAAAAG